ensembl:snoRNA
CCUCCGGUUCUUGGCAGGCCCGGCUCGCCGUGCCCGGCUCUGUAUGGGCGGAGGUAGAGCAGAGACCGGAGCGGCGUCUUCGGUACCCGCGGCCAUCCGCGGGGUUCUGCCCUCCCGCGCCGGGACACGC